AACGAACGCUGGCGGCAGGCUUAACACAUGCAAGUCGAACGGGUGCAGCGAUGCAUCAGUGGCAGACGGGUGAGUAACACGUGGGAACCUUCCUAGGGGUACGGAACAACUCAGGGAAACUUGAGCUAAUACCGUAUGUGUCCGAGAGGAGAAAGAUUUAUCGCCCUUAGACGGGCCCGCGUCGGAUUAGCUAGUUGGUGGGGUAACGGCCUACCAAGGCGACGAUCCGUAGCUGAUCUUAGAGGAUGAUCAGCCACACUGGGACUGAGACACGGCCCAGACUCCUACGGGAGGCAGCGGUGGGGAAUCUUGGACAAUGGGCGCAAGCCUGAUCCAGCCAUGCCGCGUGAGUGAAGAAGGUCUUCGGAUUGUAAAGCUCUUUUGCCAGGGACGAUAAUGACGGUACCUGGAGAAUAAGCCCCGGCAAACUUCGUGCCAGCCGCCGCGGUAACAC
rnacentral:rRNA from 1 species